AUUGAACGCUGGCGGCAGGCUUAACACAUGCAAGUCGAGCGGGGAAAGGUAGCUUGCUACCUGACCUAGCGGCGGACGGGUGAGUAAUGCUUAGGAAUCUGCCUAUUAGUGGGGGACAACAUCUCGAAAGGGAUGCUGAUACCGCAUACGUCCUACGGGAGAAAGCAGGGGACCUUCGGGCCUUGCGCUAAUAGAUGAGCCUAAGUCGGAUUAGCUAGUUGGUGGGGUAAAGGCCUACCAAGGCGACGAUCUGUAGCGGGUCUGAGAGGAUGAUCCGCCACACUGGGACGGAGACACGGCCCAGACUCCUACGGGAGGUAGCAGUGGGGAAUAUUGGACAAUGGGGGGAACCCUGAUCCAGCCAUGCCGCGUGUGUGAAGAAGGCCUUAUGGUUGUAAAGCACUUUAAGCGAGGAGGAGGCUACUGAGACUAAUACUCUUGGAUAGUGGACGUUACUCGCAGAAUAAGCACCGGCUAACUCUGUGCCAGCAGCCGCCGAAAAAC
rnacentral:rRNA from 1 species